AUGGAUAAAGUUGACCCGAAGGAACCAAAGGGCAAGAUGUCUGCCUAUGCCUUCUUUGUGCAGAUGGGCAGAGAAGAACAUAAAAAGAAAAAUCUAGAGUUCCCUAUUAAUUUUACAGAAUUUUCCAAGAAUUGCUCUGAGAGGUGGAAGACGAUGUCUGGGAAAGAGAAGUCUAAAUUUGACGAAAUGGCGAAGGCAGAUAAGUACACUAUGAUUGGGAGAUAAAGAAUUAAGAACCAGCUAAGGGAGGCAAGAAGAAGAACCCUAACGCCCCCAAAAGGCCACCAUCUGGAUUCUUCCUUUUCUAUUCAGAAUUCUGCCACAAGAUCAAAUCCACAAACCCUGACAUCUCUAUUGGAGACAUGUCAAAAAGCUGGGUGAGAUGUGGAAUAACUUAAAUGACAGUGAAAAGCAGCCUUACAUCACUAAGGUGGCACAGCUGAAGAAGUAUGAGAAGGAUGUUGCUGACUGUAAGUCUAAAGGAAAGUUUGAUGGCCCAAAGGGUUCCACUAAAGUUGCCUGGAAAAAGGUGGAAGAGGACAACAAAGAAAAUGAGGAGGAUGGAAAAUAAGGAGGAGGGAGAGGAGUAA
rnacentral:lncRNA from 10 species